rnacentral:sRNA from 1 species
AGAACCUUCGAUUAAGGUUCGACUCGAGCGAAAGAACGUUGCCAACGGUAACGGCCCGUAGGGUGAGGAGUGAAGCGACGAAUA